UGAUGUUUAAUUCAUUCUGUUAUUUUUCCUUCCCCCCUCCCCUCCCACCCCUCUUUAUCAUCUAUAUAGUCCAUCUUUCCUCAAUUCUUGCCUCCCUCCCACCACUCUUUAAGUAUUGUCAUCUGCUUAUUAGCGAGAUUAUCUGUCCUUUGAUUUAGAGGUGGUACAGUCAUUGACUUCAGCAAAAGGGCCUGGAACUGGGUGCAUGAACAUGUAGACUAAGGUAAUUAUAAUUGUUUCCAAUGAACUUGAAGGUUACUUGACAAUUGUAGAUUGGGAGGGACUACUGGAACUACACUAUACUGGAAAAUUCUUGUCUCUCCCUCCAAAUCUACUCUCCAACCUUCUCUGACUUGAUUUGUGCUCCAGGAGGUGGAUCUGUGAGAAUUACCCUGAUGACCUAUGUUCUCUCUCUGAAUUCUAGUAGCAAGUUCCAGUCCAGAAAACAAUACAACAAUGUCAAAAGCAAAAGAGUAACAAUCAAGUUUAAUUCUGUAAUAAGUAAGCAAGUGCUACAAAUUUAUAGAAUACUCUAAGUGCAUUAUAGGAGAAAUAAGCAUAAACUGGGAAGAGAUUAUGUAGUUUAAGAUGCAUGAUAGAAGUGGAGGAAUGUUCUUUGGAGAAAUAACAUGGGGUUUGUCCUGACUCACCAUCUUAUUUCCCCACUUAAUUUUUCUCAUGUUCUUCAGAGAGAGCACUAGACUGCAUUAAGGAUUGCUUUCAGAAGAUGAUAUAUCAAGAGCAAGAAGACCCUAAAAUAUGACAAAACAGAGUUGCUUUCAUCUAGACCAGAGUAACUUUAGCUAAAUUUGAAAAGAACUACAUGCAAAACUCAAAUGUUCAAUUGAAAAAAUAUAAACAUUUUGAAUGCUGAGAUGAUGAACUUGUAAUCUAGUAUUGGUAAUUUGAAUUAUGCACUUCAUUUAUUCCAAUUCACCUAAUAAAUGUGAUUUUUGAAGUGCUGAUGUUCCUGUCAAGUAUCUCUACAGGGUGGCUCCUUUCCAUGUGGUGACUCUCAAAGAUGCAGGCUUGAUCCAGCUUGUGAAUCUGCCAUCUGUAAAACAAGGUUUCCUAACUUGAUGAAAUGGAAGAAGAGCAUUUAUGUCAACCUGGAAUUGAUGCUUUCCACUUCUGAUUAUAUUUCAUUGGCUAAAAUUAAUCAAAUAGCAUCACUUGUAUACAGAGGGCAAGCCAAUGUUCUCAAGUUCAGUUUUACACUAUAAAGGACCAUGAAUAUCAGUGACCUAUUAGGUCCCUGAUGUCAUGCAAGUGCACUGACUCAGGUAACUACAAAUAGGACAUGGUGGUACAUGACUAUUAUCCCCACAACUCAGGAGGCUGAAGUAGGAGGAUUGCAAGUUUGAGGCAGCCUGCAUAACUUAGAAAGAUCUUGUCUUGAAGUAAAAAGAAAAAAAAAAGAAUGCUGGAGGGCUUGGGAUGUAACUAACUUAUGCAGCUUAGUGGCAGAGUGGUAGAGUGACCUAGAUGCUAAAGAAUAAAUAAAUAAAUAAAUAAACACUGCAAAUAGUAGCUGUUCUCUAGAAGCUAGGAUCUGAUAAUUAAAUCUUCUAAAAUAUACAUCUGUAGGUGACUGGAGCAUAGGCUUACCUGUGAAGGAAUAAAAUAUUCUUUCUGAAAUGUUGUUUAAUUUGGAGCAGCUUUUAAAGUACUAGUUUCAUAAUUCUAGAACAUAUACAGCUAUGUUUGGUUCCCUAUGUUUUAUUGUUGAUUUGGAGAAAAUAUACUUGGAAGAAAUAUAUAUGAGUAAGCAUAAAAUAUAUAGAUUUUAUUUAAAAUUUAGAAGCUUGGUACCAUGGAAUUGAACUUUUGUUAUACCAUUUAUCUAAGAGAUGUGCUGAGUUCAUGUGCAGUUAAUCCUCCUAUCUCAUUAUGUCUUAUCAGUGACAAAAGAGCUCACAAGUCUAGUUCAAUUAUAAUUUAAAACAUUGACUAUGAGUGUUUUGCUAUUGAAUUCAUAAUGCAUCUAGAUAGUGUUUAAAGCCUAAGACAAUUAGCUCAUGCUAUUUUCUGGCCAAAUUGUAUAUCAGUUGUUGUAUAUAUGCCAAGAAUAUUAGAAAGCUCUGGUCAUUUGAAAAAUCUCUGAUUAAAUUAAAUAGUAUUAUUUCCUUUACAAAAUAAAAAAAAAACCUCGUACCUAUCAUUGAUCUUUCAUUACUCCUAUCACUACAGUGUAAGUUUGAAUUACAUUUUUUUCUGUUCCCUUGACAAAUGUUUAUUGUGUGU